AGCAAACCACAAAGUUCAGCACAAAUCAAAGCCUCUACUUCCUUUGCGAUGUACCCCACAUUGUCAAAUGCAUUAGAAACCAUCUUCUUCGGCACAAAGACGGCAUGAUUGGUGAACAUCGCAUAAACAAUGACCACUACCAAGUUCUGCAGGAAGUAGACGGCAAAGAGCAACUCCGCAUUGUUCCCAAGCUUACCGCUGAACACGUCUGCCCCGACAUGAGAAAAAUGAGAGUGAAGCUUGCAGUACAGGUAAGAUUACGAAA
rnacentral:lncRNA from 1 species